rnacentral:snoRNA from 1 species
AAGACUAUACUUUCAGGAAUCAUUUCUUUAGUUGUUGACUUGAGAAAUGUGUUUCUAAAGAGUUUGGGCUCGCUGUCCACGAUGAAGAAUUCAGAUGUUUCUUUCAGAGCAGGAAAGUGGUGGGAUGAUUUAGUUUUUUCUCCACUGUUGAAGAUUGUUCAGAGUUUCUGGAAGACUCUCUGAUGGCAGAAACAUGAUCUGAGUGGA